rnacentral:rRNA from 2 species
UUGGUUAAGUUAUUAAGGGCAUGUGGUGGAUGCCUUGGCAUUCGGAGGCGAAGAAGGACGUGCCUAGCUGCGAUAAGCUACGGGGAGCUGCUUAGGAAGCUUUGAUCCGUAGAUUUCCGAAUGGGGAAACCCACCUGUCUUUAUCGACAGGUAUCAUGCACUGAAUUCAUAGGUGCAUGAAGCGAACGGAGGGAACUGAACCAUCUCAGUACCUCUAGGAAAAGACAUCAAUUGAGAUUCCCUAAGUAGCGGCGAGCGAAAGGGGAACAGCCUAAACCGAUUUCACUUCGGUGAAGUCGGGGUUGCGGGACUGCAAUAUGGGAUUGUCGGAGGAUAGGUGAACGAUCUGGAAAGGUCGGCCAUAGCGUGUGAUAGCCACGUAAUCGAAAUCCGAAGGCACCCUAGCAGUAUCCCAAGUACCACGGGACACGAGAAAUCUUGUGGGAAUCUGGGUGGACCAUCAUCCAAGGCUAAAUACUACCGAAUGACCGAUAGCGAACUAGUACCGCGAGGGAAAGGUGAAAAGCACCCCUAGUGGGGAGUGAAAAGUACCUGAAACCGCAUGCCUACAAGCAGCUAAAGGGCUAUGCCCAUCUUCGGAUGGGAAUGUCUGAUAGCGUGCCUUUUGCAUAAUGAGUCAGUGAGUUACUGUUUGCAGCAAGGUUAAGCUCUACACGAGCGAAGCCGUAGCGAAAGCGAGUCCUAACCGGGCGAUGAAGUUGCGGGCAGUAGACCCGAAACCAGUGUGAUCUAGCCAUGGGCAGGAUGAAGCGCGGGUAACACCGCGUGGAGGUCCGAACCGGUGAACGUUGAAAAGUUCUCGGAUGACCUGUGGCUAGGGGUGAAAGGCCAAUCAAACCUGGAGAUAGCUGGUUCUCCCCGAAAUAUAUUGAGGUAUAGCCUCGCAUGAAUACUCUCGGAGGUAGAGCACUGAAUGGGCUAGGGGUCUUACCAGAUUACCAAACCCAAUCAAACUCCGAAUGCCGAGAAGUACUGUGCGGGAGGCAGUCCAUGGGUGCUAAGGUCCUUGGACGAGAGGGAAAGAGCCCAGACCGCCAGCUAAGGUCCCAAAAUGAUAACUAAGUGUGAAAGGAUGUGGAAGUGCAUAGACAACCAGGAGGUUGGCUUAGAAGCAGCCAUCCUUUAAAGAAAGCGUAACAGCUCACUGGUCGAGUGAGUCUGCGCCGAAAAUUCAACGGGGCUAAAGUUAUCUACCGAAGCUGCGGAUUUCCUGCAGGGUUCGCCUUGCAGGGAGUGGUAGGGGAGCAUUCUGUAAGCCUGUGAAGGUCGACGGUAACGACGACUGGAGGUAUCAGAAGUGAUUAUGCUGACAUAAGUAGCGAUAAAACAUGUGAGAAACGUGUUCGCCGAAAGCCUAAGGUUUCCUGGGCAAGGUUAAUCCGCCCAGGGUUAGUCGGGGCCUAAGCCGAGGCCCAAGGGAGUAGGUGAUGGAGAACAGGUUAAUAUUCCUGUACCACUGCCGGCAUGUUAUUCGACGGAGGGACGGAGCGUGUAAGGUCAGCCACCUAUUGGAUGGUGGUUUAAGCGUAUAAGGAGGCGUUCAGGCAAAAUCCGGACGUCAAUCCCAAAGCGUGAUGACGAGAGGCGUUAAGCCUCACAAAGUGACCGGUUCAAGCUUCCAAGAAAAGCUUCGUCGUGAUGUCGGUGGUGCCCGUACCGUAAACGGACACACGUAGGCGAGUCGAGAAGACUAAGGCGCUUGAGAGAACCCUUGUUAAGGAACUUUGCAAGUUAACACCGUAACUUCGGAAGAAGGUGUGCCUCUGAAAGUGUAUCUAUAAGAAGAGAAGCUUUAUGAGGUCGCAGUGAACAGGUGGCGACGACUGUUUAUCAAAAACACAGGGCUCUGCUAAGUCGAAAGACGACGUAUAGGGUCUGACGCCUGCCCGGUGCCGGAAGGUUAAAGCGAGGGGUUAGCCGUAAGGCGAAGCUCUGAACUGAAGCCCCGGUAAACGGCGGCCGUAACUAUAACGGUCCUAAGGUAGCGAAAUUCCUUGUCGGGUAAGUUCCGACCUGCACGAAUGGCGUAACGAUUGCCACACUGUCUCAACAGGGGGCUCAGCGAAAUUGUACUGGCAGCGCAGAUGCUGCCUACCCGCAGCAAGACGGAAAGACCCUGUGCACCUUUACUACAACUUGGCAGUGAGCUUCGGAUAGGUUUGUGUAGGAUAGGUGGGAGGCUUUGAAGCCGAGGCGUUAGCUUCGGUGGAGCCAACCUUGAAAUACCACCCUGAUCUCUUUGAAGUUCUAACUUCCUUCCGUAAUCCGGAAGAAGGACAUUGUCUGGUGGGUAGUUUGACUGGGGCGGUUGCCUCCCAAAGAGUAACGGAGGCGCACGAAGGUUCCCUCAGGCUGAUUGGAAACCAGCCGGCGAGUGUAAGGGCAAAAGGGAGCUUAACUGCGAGACAUACAAGUCGAGCAGAUGCGAAAGCAGGUCCUAGUGAUCUGGUGGUCCCGUAUGGAAGGGCCAUCACUUAUCGGAUAAAAGGUACGCCGGGGAUAACAGGCUGAUCGCCGCCAAGAGUUCACAUCGACGCGGCGGUUUGGCACCUCGAUGUCGGCUCAUCACAUCCUGGGGCUGGAGUCGGUCCCAAGGGUUUGGCUGUUCGCCAAUUAAAGUGGUACGUGAGCUGGGUUCAGAACGUCGCGAGACAGUUCGGUCCCUAUCUGCUGUGGGCGAAGGAUACUUGAGAGGAGCUGUCCCUAGUACGAGAGGACCGGGAUGGACGUACCUCUGGUCCACCGGUUGUCGCGCCAGCGGCAUAGCCGGGUAGCUAUGUACGGAUCGGAUAACUGCUGAAAGCAUCUAAGCAGGAAACCGACCUCAAGAUAAGGUAUCCCUGAAGGUCACUUGAAGACGACGAGUUUGAUAGGCGGGGCGUGGAAGCGCAGUAAUGCGUGGAGCUGACCCGUACUAAUCGACCGAUCGACUUAACCAUUUAUU